rnacentral:snoRNA from 1 species
AAGACUAUACUUUCAGGGAUCAUUUCUAUAGAUCGUUACUAGAGAGGUUUCUCAUACUGGAAACCAUGAGGAGGUGACUCGUCCUCACCUGUGCGUGAAGCCGGCUCUGGGUGCUGCUGUGUUGCAGCUGCCAUUUGCCAUUAACGAUCGUUCUUUUCUUUUGGAGGAGGAAGAGCAUGAGGACAUCGUCUGAGUGGU